AUAGCUCUCUGUGGGGAGGAAACUCUAGUCAGCUCCCCUGUACAACUUUGAAGAAGAGCAUUAGAAAAAGAAAAUGGCAUCACAAUGUGAUCAAUGCAACUUGAUAAAAAACUACAAUGGCUCAUUACCGGAUCAGUAUAGAUGUAAGUGUAACCAGGGGGCAAACUCAGCAUUACUUGCUCUGGUUGCAUCGUACAUAAACAACAGCCGUGCUCUGAUGACGGAAUCAAGAGAUGGGACAUACACUCGACAUUACCAAAACAUCGAGCAAGGCAUUCGCUCACAUCAGCGUGUAGUCAGAAGGAACAAUCAAGUUGUAGAAGCUGAAUAUGUGAUUUAUGAAAGUAAUUAAAAGCUCCCUAAUGAGGUUUUGGUCACACUUAACAAUAAUGUUCCACUGAUUAAUGUUGAUGUAUUUAAUAAUAUGAACAAACAAUGAAUAAUACAUUUAUUACAGGAUUUUGUCCAAGAUUUGAUAAGAUUAUUUAAUUAAAAUAAAGUCAUUUAUUGUUAGUUCUUCCUAUCUCAAAGUGCAUUAACUAAUGUUAAAAGGCCUAAAUUUAGUUGGAAUGAAAUACUGAGAUUUGCAUUAUUAUUAAUAGAUUUUAUACAAAUAUAAUUCAUUCUUAAUUCAUGUAGUAGGUAAAAACAUUAACAAUCAUUAACCUAAUGGAACAUCAUUGUAAAGGCUCAUUUACUCACGACUUGUGAGUCAGUUUAAAGUUUCUGUGUCUGUGCGUUCUGUUGAGCAUAAAAUAUCUUCUUUCAUGAAGCCAAAGGUUACAGGUUUCCAACAUUCUGCAAAACAUCUUCUUUUGUGUUAAAUGUUAGCGAGGAUCAUUCAUGUCACUUCGUGGUCAAGUCAGGCAGGUUUUUGACUAGCAAAUGUGUGCAAUUGUGGGUCUAUCAUAAUAAUUGUGCCAACGUAGCAUAAUACAUGCCAUGGCUGUAUGAAGAUC